AGAGUUUGAUCCUGGCUCAGAAUGAACGCUGGCGGCGCGCUUAACACAUGCAAGUCGAGCGAGAAAGCUUCUUCGGAAGUGAGUACAGCGGCGGACGGUUGAGUAACACGUGGGAAUUUCCCCUUCAGUGAAGAAUACUCUUGAGAAAUCGAGAUUAAUACUGCAUACGUCUCUUACGAGAGAAAGGUGGCCUCUUUGCU
rnacentral:rRNA from 1 species